rnacentral:ribozyme from 1 species
CCCUCCUGUUGGAUCACUGCCUUGCCGUGGCGGAGGGGCUUGCGUAGCUCAAUGAAACUAUGACCUCUGCCAUGUAGAGGCAGACAAGUCAAGACAGACAGGUCACAGUGGAGAGCUCUGACGAAAGGUGAUC